rnacentral:rRNA from 1 species
AUUGAACGCUGGCGGCAUGCCUAACACAUGCAAGUCUAGGGGUAGCAAUACCACUGGCGCACGGGUGAGUAACACGUAGGUUAUCUGCCCCCAUCACAGACAUAACCCCGGGAAACCGGGGCUAAUAUCUGAUGAGGUCGCGAGAUCAAAGCUUCGGCGGAUGGGGAUGAGCCUGCGGCUGAUUAGCUAGUUGGUGAGGUAAUGGCUCACCAAGGCGACGAUCAGUAGCUGGUCUGAGAGGACGAACAGCCACACUGGAACUGAGACACGGUCCAGACUCCUACGGGAGGCAGCAGUGAGGAAUAUUGGUCAAUGGGAGCAAUCCUGAACCAGCAAUGCCGCGUGUGGGAUGACAGGGCUUCGCCUUGUAAACCACUGUCGGACGGGACGAAAGGAGGCCUCGGGCCUCUGGGACGGUACCGUCAAAGGAAGGGUCGGCUAACUACGUGCCAGCAGCCGCGGUAAU